GAUGAACGCUGGCGGCGUGCCUAAUACAUGCAAGUCGAGCGAACAGACGAGGAGCUUGCUCCUCUGACGUUAGCGGCGGACGGGUGAGUAACGCGUGGAUAACCUACCUAUAACACUGGGAUAACUUCGGGAAACCGGAGCUAAUACCGGAUAAUAUAUUGAACCGCAUGGUUCAAUAGUGAAAGACGGUUUUGCUGUCACUUAUAGAUGGAUCCGCGCCGCAUUAGCUAGUUGGUAAGGUAACGGCUUACCAAGGCAACGAUGCGUAGCCGACCUGAGAGGGUGAUCGGCCACACUGGAACUGAGACACGGUCCAGACUCCUACGGGAGGCAGCAGUAGGGAAUCUUCCGCAAUGGGCGAAAGCCUGACGGAGCAACGCCGCGUGAGUGAUGAAGGUCUUCGGAUCGUAAAACUCUGUUAUUAGGGAAGAACAAAUGUGUAAGUAACUAUGCACGUCUUGACGGUACCUAAUCAGAAAGCCACGGCUAACUACGUG
rnacentral:rRNA from 1 species